GCUGGAUUCCAGCUGCUCCAGGUUCCCUUCCCAGCUUGCUGCCCCGUCUUUACACCUGCUUACAGCCUGGCAGCUCCCUUUAAGAUGAAAUUCUGUGAAGUAUUAAACACACAGGGCUUAUUCACUUGUUUGUGCUGGGUAAGUGAAUUCAGGGCUUGUGGGAGAUGCCAGAUGGGCUCUGGGAGAGACAGAAGGUCUCUGUGUCUCCACCAAGCAACAGCAGCGUGUGCUUCCCAAAUUGUGCUGCCAAGUGCCUCAAACCUGACCCACAGCAUGGAGGUUUAGAUGCUGCUCAUCUUCAACCAUCCUUUGAGACAAACACAUCCUGCUCUCCAGAAAAGACACAGCAAUGUUUACACUGCUUGGGCUGCUAAAAAAAAAUCCCCAAACAAAAAUGUAACCAGAAGGAAAAAACCCCAUAAUUAAUUUCCCUUUUAAUCCUGACCGAUUGAAAACAACACGAAUAAAGCUUAGAGUUUCUGAUAA